CAGAGUUCAUGCCCUAACGGGUAGAUCUCCCACCCUUGUGUAUCAUUACCUUUGUUGCUUUGGCAGGCCGUCAGGCUUCGGCCCGGCUACCGGCUCCGGCUGGUAAGCGCCUGCCAGAGGACCCCAAACUCAUGUUUAAACGUCGUCUGAGUACUAUAUAAUAGUUA
rnacentral:misc_RNA from 1 species